CUUUGGAUUUUAGUGGUCCGAGGCUUGGGGGUGGGCACACCUUGUUACCCCCUGAAUCCCCUGAUUUGUUGUCUUGUAGUAUCCUCCCUGGAACCCCUCCCUCACUUAUAGGGGGUAGGGGGGAGGAAGAAUCUCUCUCAGCAUCUCAGCCUCUCAGCCUCUCAGCUCGGAGCUCUGAGCCUCUCUGCUCCUCAGCUCUUGAGCUAAUAAACAUCUUUGAACCUGCUAAGCUGAGAGCCAGCCUUUUCUCUUCUGCUGCUGUUGGCUGUCAGGACACUCUUGGUCCAGCUGCUGAGAAGCCGACCAGCAGCACCCAAGCAGUUGGGACCAGCCAGUCCUUCCCUGCCAGUCUGGACAAGCAGCAGCUCCGAAGUGAUCAGUGAGGAAACCAAAAGCAGGCAAAAGCAAGGAGUCCCACACAGUGCUAAGAAGAUUAGAGGAUGAUAAGGGAUCCCCAUGACUAAGCUUCACGAAGUCCUGCCUAAAGCUUGUGAAGAUUAUUUCUACAGUAACAAAGUUACCCUUGAUAGGGUGGAACUGUAUAGUGAAUUACUGAGAAUAAAGACAGUUUGGAACACUGCAUGAAUAUUUGGUCUUAAAGCUAAAAAGUGCUUUUUCAAGCUGGAAGACAUGUAUUUCAAAUAGGGACAUUCACACAGAUUUGCUUUCAUUACUUUGUGUAAAAAGAUGAUUAGUUUAAGAAGUUUAUUGGGUGCAAAGUAUGACGUACAGUUACUGUGGACCACAGACUUCCUAUU